AACAGGCAAUAAGCUAAUCAUUAUACAAAAUAAAAAAUUUAACUGGGAGAUUGUAGGGCUUUACCCCGAAGGGAGCCCUUCCAGAAAUUCUCGAAGGCCCAAGACAAGCUUAGGCCCAGGAGGGGGUUUGGAAAUAGUUUUCAACCAGCAAUAGACGCGCCUCGGUUAGAACCUCAUUAGCUGCGUCAUUGCCCCAAGCGCAAAGAUAAAUUUUUCUCACCUCAAAGCCGCUUUAU
rnacentral:sRNA from 1 species